UAAGCAGGCCACCUUAUCGCUGCGAACCGAACUUGUUCGGUAAGGGGAGGAAAGUCCGGGCACCGUAGUGUGACAUAGCGGGUAACACCCGUCCGUUGAAAAGCGAGGACAAGUGCAGCAGAAAGUAUGUACAGGUAAUGCUGUAGUGAAAUCAGGUAAACUCUAUGUGGUGAAACGCCAUGUAUACCAGCGUCCCGACCUUGGUCGGGGGAGGGUUGCACGCCCAUGCUGGAGGGUAGGCGGAUCGAGCCAUGGGGUAAUCCAUGGCCUAGAUAAAUGAUAGGGAACCCUGUUCGCGGGGUACAGAACCCGGCUUAUGGCCUGCUUUUUAC
rnacentral:RNase_P_RNA from 1 species